rnacentral:rRNA from 1 species
AUUGAACGCUGGCGGCAGGCCUAACACAUGCAAGUCGAGCGGAGCAGCGGACGGGGGAUUAAUGCCUGGUAAUCUGCCUGGUGGUGGGGGAUAACGUCCGGAAACGGGAGCUAAUACCGCAUACUAUCAGAUGAGCCUCGGUCGGAUUAGCUAGUUGGUGGGGUAAUGGCCUACCAAGGCGACGAUCCGUAACUGGUCUGAGAGGAUGAGCAGUCACACUGGAACUGAGACACGGUCCAGACUCCUACGGGAGGCAGCAGUAGGGAAUAUUGGACAAUGGGCGAAAGCCUGAUCCAGCCAUGCCGCGUGUGUGAAGAAGGUCUUCGGAUUGUAAAGCACUUUAAGUUGGGAGGCGUUACCAACAGAAUAAGCACCGGCUAACUUCGUGCCAGCAGCCGCGGUAAUUC